CGCGGGAUGGAGCAGCAUGGCAGCUCGUCGGGCUCAUAACCCGAAGGUCGUAGGUUCAAAUCCUGCUCCCGCAACCA
rnacentral:tRNA from 1 species